rnacentral:rRNA from 1 species
GUGCCAGCAGCCGCGGUAAUACGUAGGCAGCGAGCGUUGUUCGGAGUUACUGGGCGUAAAGAGUGCGUAGGCGGUGGCCCAAGUCUGGUGUGAAAUCUCCCGGCUUAACCGGGAGGGUGCGCCGGAAACUGGGUCGCUUGAGUACUGGAGAGGCAAGCGGAAUUCCUGGUGUAGCGGUGAAAUGCGUAGAUAUCAGGAGGAACACCCGUGGUGUAGACGGCUUGCUGGACAGUCACUGACGCUGAGGCACGAAAGCGUGGGGAGCAAACAGGAUUAGAAACCCUGGUAGUCC